CGGCGCUGAUGAAGACUAUUAUUGCGGCAAAUUGAUUCGGCUCCCGCCGCCGCCGCCGCCGUCAUAAUGGCUGGCGCAGAAACGCUGAUGUAACCAUCAACAGCGUUUCUCCCCGCCUAGAAUGAAAAAGAAAAAAAGAAGCCGGGCCUUCCUCAAAUGACUUUUUCUUCUUCCGCGACCCGCCUAUCAUGAAAUGUUGCCGAUUAUCUCCCGUAUGAAACGCUCAAAUUGAAUUCUGUCUCUUUUUCAUUUAAGGAAUAAUUGAGUCGACAUUUGGGAGCGCUUCAAAGGCGGCGGGGCCUUCGGGCACCCUCGUAAAUUACGCUAUCAAUUCCGGAUUGGCCAUUAGCUCGGUGUCAAGUGCGCACCAGGUGCCCCUCCUCGUCAUCGGCGGCGCCGUCUUCAUCCUACUUUCCUCUUUUCUUUGCUUCGCGGCCCUCUGACACACCAGUCUCGCUGUGUGUGUGUGUGUGUGUGUGUGUGUGUAUGUGUGUGUGUGUGUGUGCGACAUUUUAAUGUAACACCAUGAAGACUUUUAUAUGUUUAGCGCAAAACAUCCAAUGUAUGUAUGGGUCCAUGUUUAACGUGUAAACAAGAAAACACACACACACACACAGUUGCUGGACACUAGAUUAGGGAAGUGUGUGUGUGUGUGUGUGUGUGUGUGUCAUUGGUGGUUUUGUUUCCAUCACCUGAAUGCGCUGUAAUCUGGAGGUGAGGCAUAUUGUCUUGGGCUAAUGCGAGUGUAAAUAUAAGUUAAGUUAUUCAUAGAAGUGCUGAUUGCAGCCGCUCGUCACAGCUAAAUGAGCUGCGCGUUUGUUAUUGUGCAGUAAUUAGGAGCGCCACGGCGCCGCUCCGAGAUGACAGGGUCACUUAAAUAGUUUCUCUCCGUCUCUUUCCGGCCCGAAUUACGGAAGCUGAGGCAAGUGCGAGGCAAUCCUUAUCUCAGGCAAUUAAUGGCGGCCGACUCGUAUUGCAGCACGAUUAUUCAAAGCUUCCGCACAAGUCGGCCUAAAGUCGCGGGAGUGGGUGGGCGUGUCAUCCGGAACUACCGCAAAGAGUCGGCUAGCUCCGUGCUAACGUAUAAUGCGAAAGGUGCUUGACAGGCUAACGGAAAGUAGCGCAGGCCUAGUGGAUGCUAAUGGAUGCUAGUAGACGCUAGCGGACGGCUUUUUGAAGGCAACAAAUGGGACGAGACCCUUGAGAAGUUAAAUGUGGGCGAUUCAAGAACGCAAACGAGGUUCCCCAAAUGAAAAUGUCACCGCGUAAAAUGUCGUCAGUGCGCUUUGGCGGGCGGGCGGGCGGAUGACAAAUCUGCAUUCUUAAAUAAAAAGGCGCAGUAAUAACAAAGCGGCGUGAUUAACGAUAGCAAUUUAUCGUAUCUGCCGGCCGGGCGGGCCGGUCCCCCGGCCGUUGCCGCGACGACGGUUAUCAUAAUUCAUAUCGUAAAUAAGCGCGGCGGGCGGCCAAUCAGGAGGAGCGAGCGUGUCAUCCCAAAUAACCUUUGAUAACAAUUACCAUGGAAGGCCUCCAGUCACAAUGUUAUCUGGCGGCCGUUGUUGCCGUGUCGCCGACAAGGCCAUUACCAUAUAGAUUAGACUAUUUACAAUGCGCGGCGCCCCCCGCCGCCAUUGCCGCCAUCGCCGCCAUCGCCGGCCUGCCUCAAUAGGCGCAGGUGGGAGCAUCUCUGUCAUGUUUUGUGUGAUUGGACUUUUUUCUCAAUUCAACCUUUAUUUAUCCAGGUAAGGCAAUCCUACGUGUGACAUGCGUGUGGAUCACACGUGCGCGCGGACCUCUGCAUAAGCGAAAGCGUGUGUGCGUGCGCUCGAUAUCUUGGGCUGGCACAUUUUGCCGGACGGCUUUGGGAAAACCUUCAUAUUAGCGGCGUGAUAAGUGUCGCAGAUUAGACCGGCAUAUCUUGGCCCAGGUGCUUUUUUUUUUUUUUUUUAUCUGGUGAGAGGAAUCCUCUGAUAUGCGUCCACACACACAACCGGACAUUUGGAUGAGGACUGACCGCAAAAAGUUGUCGGAAGGACAUGUGUUUUUUUUUUUUGCUUUAAUCUCGCUCUUAAUCUGCUCUAAUAUCUCCAUUUUGAUACGACUUUUUAAUUUUUCCCCCAUCUUGUUGGUCCUCCCUGGCGGUGGCCGGCCUGACAGCGUCUUUAUUCCAAGGUAGAUGGCGUCAAGGCAGAUUAAGAGCUCGCCAGCCCACGCGAGAUGUUCCCGCCAAAAAGUACACACGGCAUCUCGCAGACUCGUCGUCUCGGAAAAAGGAAGAGUGGCGUCAUCUCUAUGGCGCCCGCUAAUCCCACAAAGUCCUUCACCUGGUCCUCCUCCUCAGAAAAACUUUGACGUUUUUGCAAAGCUUUUCUGCUCGUCUUUGUGGGCGGAGCCAAAAAAGACAAAACGUCUUUUGCCGGCUGCUCUGCAAGGAGAAAAAAAAACGAGGCCUUAUCAGCGACCGGGCCGAGCACUACGCGAGGACGGACGGAGCUGAAUCGGCAAAGAUUAGGCGCCGCCGUUGGCUGGCUGGAGUUGCGGCGUGUAAGGGGCUUACCACGCACCUUCCAUGAGUUCAGCAAACUCGGAGCAAAGAAAGUAAAGUGGAGCCAGCGGAUGGAUGGAUGGACGGACGGACGGAUGGAUGGCGGCGUUUGUUUGCGCACCUGCGCACGCGGCGUCGGCCUCGUUCCGCCUCCUACGGAAAAAGGCGAUGAAAAGCGGCGGCGGCGACAACGGUGACACAUUUCUUGAAGGUAAGGCACUUUGUCAAGCGCUUAGCGCGUGCGUACACCACGUUGGCAUUAUGAUGCAAAUGAUAAGAGGCGAGCGAGCGCUCCUCCACUUUUGCCGCCGCCGUACCUACAGAGGCUGGUGAUUGUGCCUGCGCCUGCCUGCGCAUCCGUCUCCGUUGCAUCUGGCCUUUGUUUGAGCUGAUUGGAUCUGCCGCGAUCACAUGUUUACCCGCCGCCUUAUCUCUUUGAGAAACCUCCGUCACGGCUAGCGGAGAGUAACGAGCGGGGCUUUUCUUUUUUUUUUUGGCGCGCGGGUGUGUUUUCCUUUUAUUUCCGAGACGGGCGCGCACACACGGGCCUUUUGUGUGUAUAUGCUAAUAGGCCGGCUAACACCCUAUUCACACUGUUUGUUUGGCGAAAUGAUGCAAGUUGCCAGACAUCGCUGCUUUUUGCGCUGAUGCGGACGUUUUUUCCCCCUUCGGCUGGGGGAGGAGGGGGCGGGACGGCAAAUCCGCAAAGGUUUUGUCAUCAAUGCUGGGCUGACAAUGGCGACAAAAACAUUAAAGGGAGAAAAGAUGUGUUUCUGUGUUAAACAAUUAGCGCCGCGGCAUUAGAGGCGAUCAGGCGGGAGACAAAAGCCAGCCGGCACAAAGACACAAACGCAUGCGCCCAGAUGGAGCCCGGCCGACGCCGUCCUCCGCCGGGACCGGCCGACCGCCGUCUCUUUCUGGGUCGGCGUGACGGACGCGCAGCCGCCACCUCUUUGGGUUCGGAAGUCAUCGAGGACGCUUCCAAAGGGGGAACGUUUAAGUUUGCCUUGUGUGGCCCAGCUACCCCCGUCCGUUCGUCCGUCUGUCCAUCCAUAUGUGAGAGACUGGACACCCCCCUCCCUCCCGCCCCCCUCCACGUGAAUGGCUGCAGUGUUUGCGCGCCACUUAACCCGCUGACCGGCGGCGGAACGAGCCCCUCGCAGCGGGCCGCUCGGCUCGCGGCCCCCCACCGCCGGCGCGGUGUCCGUUACGGCCCCGGGAGAGGCACGGACCAAAAAGCGCAUGUGCUUGUCAUCAUAUCUGCAUUGUCAACUUUUCCUCCUUGAUUGACGCUUGGCUUUGAAGUCCACGACGAUUCUUCCGUUCUCCAGCAGAAGCGAAGAGCCCAGAAGCGCCGUGUUUUGCUUUGGCGCUAUUUUCUCAGCCAGCGUAGGCGGCAAUGGGGGCAAAGCUCCGUGUUUGGACUCGCCGUCUCGGUCCCGGACGCCGCCUGCCUUCGCCUGCAUGAGGGAGGACUUGAAAGGCAGGAAGCGUUUGAUUCCUUCACCAAAAGAAGCUUCCAUCAAAAGCGCUGAGUGACGCCACCGCCCCCCCCCCCCCUUCCCAUUUCAUUCACACACACGCCUUACCUGUGGCGGCAGGUGUUGCCUUGGUGCCGCAAUGACGGAGGAGCUUCCUGUCAAUACGCCAAGCACCUCCGCUAAGGCCCCUCGUUUGCAGGGAAGAAGGCAAUGUUUUGUUUCCCGUGCCAAACAGUUAGCAUGUUGCUAACGUGGAGAAUUUUCAUCUUGCAGCUGUUGGCUGUUGUUUUGCUUGCAAGGAAGCCGGCCGGCCGGCCGAGCCAUGCAGCCAUGCAGCCGCUCUCGGGGCAGCAUGCUGGAAUUGAAAUAUUUUCUGUCUUCAACUUGAGUAUCUACUUCUCUGGCACCUUUUUUUCUCUUUUACUUUCUGCAAUUUUUUAAAGCUCCCUGGGGAAAUGUCAUUCAUGACCAAAGUUAGCAAGGAAGU